rnacentral:pre_miRNA from 1 species
UCCCCAACAAUAUCCUGGUGCUGAGUGAUGACACGUGUGACUCCAGCAUCAGAGAUUUUGUUGAAGA